GCAAGUCGAGCGGAUGACGGGAGCUUGCUCCCUGAUUUAGCGGCGGAAGGGUGAGUAAAGCCUAGGGAUCUGCCUGGUACUGGGGGACAACGUUUCGAAAGGAACGCUAAUACCGCCUACGUCCUACGGGAGAAAGCAGGGGACCUUUGGGCCCUGCGCUAUAAGAUGAGCCUAGGUCGGAUUAGCUAGUUGGUGGGGUAAUGGCUCACCAAGGCGACGAUCCGUAACUGGUAUGAGAGGAUGAUCAGUCACACUGGAAUGAGACACGGUCCAGACUCCUACGGGAGGCAGCAGUGGGGAAUAUUGGACAAUGGGCGAAAGCCUGAUCCAGCCAUGCCGCGUGUGUGAAGAAGGUCUUCGGAUUGUAAAGCACUUUAAGUUGGGAGGAAGGGCAGUAAGCUAAUACCUGCUGUUGACGUAC
rnacentral:rRNA from 1 species